UGGGGAAUUUUGGACAAUGGGGGCAACCCUGAUCCAGCAAUGCCGCGUGAGUGAAGAAGGCCUUCGGGUUGUAAAGCUCUUUUGUCAGGGAAGAAACGGGCCUGGAUAAUACCUGGGCUUAAUGACGGUACCUGAAGAAUAAGCACCGGCUAACUACGUGCCAGCAGCCGCGGUAAUACGUAGGGUGCAAGCGUUAAUCGGAAUUACUGGGCGUAAAGCGUGCGCAGGCGGUUUUGUAAGUCUGUCGUGAAAUCCCCGGGCUUAACCUGGGAAUUGCGAUGGAGACUGCAAGGCUGGAGUCUGGCAGAGGGGGGUAGAAUUCCACGUGUAGCAGUGAAAUGCGUAGAGAUGUGGAGGAACACCGAUGGCGAAGGCAGCCCCCUGGGUCAAGACUGACGCUCAUGCACGAAAGCGUGGGGAGCAAACA
rnacentral:rRNA from 1 species